rnacentral:ncRNA from 1 species
CAAAGGCUUGGUCCUGACUUUAUUAUCAACUUUAGCUGAACUUACACAUGCAAGUAUCCGCACUCCUGUGAGAAUGCCCUAACAGUUCCCUGCCCGGGAACAAGGAGCAGGUAUCAGGCACACUCCUACUGAGCCCACGACACCUUGCUUAGCCACACCCUCAAGGGAACUCAGCAGUGAUAAACAUUAAGCCAUAAGUGAAAACUUGACUUAGUUAAAGCUAAGAGGGCCGGUAAAACUCGUGCCAGCCACCGCGGUUAUACGAGAGGCCCAAGUUGACGAACACCGGCGUAAAGCGUGGUUAAGCUAAAAAAUUAUACUAAAGCCAAACACCUUCAAGACUGUUAUACGUAACCGAGGGCAGGAAGUACAACCACGAAAGUCGCUUUAUCAGAUCUGAACCCACGAAAGCUAAGGAACAAACUGGGAUUAGAUACCCCACUAUGCCUAGCCCUAAACAUUAAUAGUAUUAUACACCCACUAUCCGCCCGGGUACUACGAGCAAUAGCUUAAAACCCAAAGGACUUGGCGGUGCUUUAGACCCACCUAGAGGAGCCUGUUCUAGAACCGAUAACCCCCGUUCAACCUCACCCUUCCUUGUUUUACCCGCCUAUAUACCGCCGUCGUCAGCUUACCCUGUGAGGGACAAAUAGUAAGCAGAACUGGUACAACCUAAAACGUCAGGUCGAGGUGUAGCGUAUGGAGGGGGAAGAAAUGGGCUACAUUCGCUACCACAGCGAACACGAACGAUGCACUGAAACACACAUCUGAAGGAGGAUUUAGCAGUAAGCUGGAAAUAGAGCGUCCCGCUGAAACUGGCCCUGAAGCGCGCACACACCGCCCGUCACUCUCCCCAAAAGCCCCAGUCAGUUAACUAAAACCUAAUAAUCAACAAGGGGAGGCAAGUCGUAACAUGGUAAGUGUACCGGAAGGUGCACUUGGUAAAAU